UAAACCUAAUGUGGGUCUAUGAUGAGUUUCACUUAAAUGCAGUCUAUUUAUAUUAAGGACCAAUAUUAAAGAGUUAUGGAUAAUAAUACUUCAAAGUGGUGGUUGCAUUGGAAUAAGUGUACGUCUUGUCAGCUAGAUUCCUGGUGUAAAAUAAUUUUACUGUAGGCAAGUUGACAGAAAAAAAACAUCACCUCUGUACUCUAUAGCCCAUUAAAAUUGUGUCCUGCCUCCACCAGUGUGGUGGUUUGAAUGAAUAUGGGAUCAUGGUCUCAUAUUUGGAGGUUAGGUCACCAGGGAUUGGAACCGUUUGAUAGGAUUAGAAGGAUUGGGAGGCAUGGCCUCUGGGAGGAUGUGCGACCCUGUGGGUGGUCUUUGAG
rnacentral:lncRNA from 1 species